rnacentral:rRNA from 1 species
CCUACGGGGGGCAGCAGUGAGGAAUAUUGGUCAAUGGGCGAGAGCCUGAACCAGCCAAGUCGCGUGAAGGAUGACGGCCCUACGGGUUGUAAACUUCUUUUGUCAGGGAGCAAUUGGGUCCACGCGUGGGCUUAGCGAGAGUACCUGAAGAAAAAGCAUCGGCUAACUCCGUGCCAGCAGCCGCGGUAAUACGGAGGAUUCGAGCGUUAUCCGGAUUUAUUGGGUUUAAAGGGUGCGUAGGCGGGUUGUUAAGUCAGUUGGGAAAGUUGGGGGCCCAACCGUCGAACUGCAAUUGAAACUGGCAGUCUUGAGUACAGGAGAGGUAGGCGGAAUGCGUGGUGUAGCGGUGAAAUGCUUAGAUAUCACGCAGAACCCCGAUUGCGAAGGCAGCUUACUAGCCUGUGACUGACACUGAGGCUCGAAAGCGUGGGUAUCGAACAGGAUUAGAUACCCGGGUAGUC